AUUGAACGCUGGCGGCAGGCCUAACACAUGCAAGUCGAGCGGUAGAGAGGUGCUUGCAUCUCUUGAGAGCGGCGGACGGGUGAGUAAUGCCUAGGAAUCUGCCUAGUGGUGGGGGGAUAACGUUCGGAAACGGACGCUAAUACCGCAUACGUCCUACGGGAGAAAGCGGGGGGAUCUUCGGACCUCGCGCCAUUAGAUGAGCCUAGGUCGGAUUAGCUAGUUGGUGAGGUAAUGGCUCACCAAGGCGACGAUCCGUAACUGGUCUGAGAGGAUGAUCAGUCACACUGGAACUGAGACACGGUCCAGACUCCUACGGGAGGCAGCAGUGGGGAAUAUUGGACAAUGGGCGAAAGACCUGAUCCAGCCACUGCCGCGUGUGUGAAGAAGGUACUUCGGAGUUGUAAAGCACUUUAAGUUGGGUAGGAAGGGUA
rnacentral:rRNA from 1 species